rnacentral:rRNA from 1 species
GACGAACGCUGGCGGCAUGCUUCAUACAUGCAAGUCGAACAGGUAGGCGGGUGCGGGGUAACCCAAUCCUGUCCGAAAGUGGCGAACGGGUGAGUAACACGUGAGCAACCUGCCCCGAAGCCCGGGAUAGCCCCUGGAAACGGGGAGUAAUACCGGAUGCCCUGCUUGAGUCGCAUGGCUCGAACAGGAAAGUUCAGGCGCUUCGGGAGGGACUCGCGGUCCAUCAGCUUGUUGGUGGGGAAAGGCCUACCAAGGCAGUGACGGAUAGCUGGCGUGAGAGCGUGACCAGCCACACUGGGACUGAGACACGGCCCAAACUCCUACGGGAGCAGCAGUAGGAAUCUUGCUCAAUGGGCGAAAGCCUGAAGCAGCAAUGCCGCGUGAGGGAUGAAUGCC